rnacentral:rRNA from 1 species
UACCUACGGGGGGCAGCAGUGGGGGAUAUUGCACAAUGGGGGAAACCCUGAUGCAGCGACGCCGCGUGAGUGAAGAAGUAUUUCGGUAUGUAAAGCUCUAUCAGCAGGGAAGAAAAAAGACGGUACCUGACUAAGAAGCCCCGGCUAACUACGUGCCAGCAGCCGCGGUAAUACGGAGGAUGCGAGCGUUAUCCGGAUUUAUUGGGUUUAAAGGGUGCGCAGGCGGGAGAUCAAGUCAGCGGUAAAAUGUCGGGGCUCAACCCCGGCCGGCCGUUGAAACUGGUUUUCU